GAAGCUUAAACAAUUAGUGAUGGCAAUUUUCUAGAAGCACUGAAAUUAAUGAACUUUACUCGAGAUGGGUUCAAAGUGAACUACAUGAGCACUAUUGCAUAGUUCCAACAGAAUUGGCUGACUGCUCGAGACGCUGAUCAAGUAAAGACUAGAGGCAUUUCUCUAGAUAUAGCUGCAAGAGAGCACUUUUCGAUGAAUGUAUCUUAAAUUGUGACUUAUUUCUUUUUCACAAUUAAUGACAUGCAUAGUGCAUUGGGAGAGCCUA